rnacentral:misc_RNA from 1 species
CUCAGGGCUUGGUAACGUUAUAAAUAAAAUACCAGUAAACAUUACUAAUUUUUUCCGAUGCUCUUUAUACCGUUAAAAUUUUUAACGGUAAUUAGGUAACGCAACGGUUUUAACGUUAUGUUAUCGGUAAAUAGAAUUAUAACACUAAUAACGAUAUUUUUACCGAUACCUCGUCAACGUUGCCUCUCCUUGGAAAAAUUGUUCAACUUAGUUUAGCAGUGUGUCAACAAGCUGGGUUUCGAAAUGGCUACAGAACCGUAAACCAUAUCCAUAGUAUUCGGCAGAUUAUACAAAAGACAGAAGAAUAUAAUCAGCCGCUGUGUAUGGCAUUUGUGGACUGUACGUACGACGCGGCGACGAUGAUGGUCCAUAUCCAAGACUAGAGAACAAGACCUAUUUUCCUUCGGCGCGGGGAACACCAUUCAACUAGUUCGAAAAAUCUUCGAGAAGGACGCGUUUGGCAGGCUUCGUCGAGUCUUCACUUCGAAGUUUCCGCAAUGCUUGAAGACAAAAGUCUUCGACCAAUGCGUCUUGCCUGUUUUAACAUACGGAGCCGAGACGUGGACACUGAUGAAGGGACUGAUCCAGAAGUUGCUCAACGUGCAAUGGAACAGACUAAGCAUAUAUAUGAUAAGAUUGCCGGUGUAGACUGGAUAAGGAUUGCAAUAAACCGGGAUGUCUGGCGUGAACUUGGGGAGACCUAUGUCCACCAGUAGACUGCAUAGGCUGAACGGACUGAUAAAAUAUAAUAAUCUAUAAUAAAUAAUUAAUCUAUUACAUCUAUCUCAUCAAUCUACAUUCUAAAUAAAUCAUUUGGGUUCUAUAGCAUUUAUUUAUUGUUUAUUAAUUAUUGAUAAAAAUUAAAUAAAACAUAAUUUUACUUUAAUAAUUUACUGUAAUACAUGAAGAUAUCAGGCUCCAUUCUUCUUUAAAUUUAUGUUAACUACUUCGUUACAGUUCAUCUUAUAUAGUCUUUGUUGUAUAUUUGACUACAUAUCAAGGUUACCUUACUUACCUUUCCCAUGAAUAUCAUGAACGUCAAUUAAUUUAAUUUAAUUAAAGUGUCGCUAGUACGAAAUCAGGACGAGUAUAUAAUCGUUCUGGUGUAGUGUUGCGUGUAGUCAUCUAACACGUCAGCGGUCGUGGAUCGAUUCCCGCUUAGAAAAUAAAAUAAAUUCCAAAAAUGAUGAAAUACGUAUUAAUGUACUUAUUUGUAAAUUGAGGAUAAAGUUUUAUGCUUUUAACCUAAAAAAAGACAGACUUCCACACUAACACCCUCUGUCAACCACUAUUUCACUCCCUUGGGUGUAGAAUUUUCAUAGGUUGAAAAAGGUAUUUAUUUUAAGCCAGUAGUACAAAAAUAAAUUUUCAUGCAUCCGUAAUUAAAAAUUACUGACUUCCAAAGUUUCAAUCCAUGUUUAUGAAAUAGUGGUAGAAUUUCUAAAAAUCCCUCCUAAGGGGGUGUCUUUUCAAUAAAGUUACCCUAUUUACCAAAAUUUUCG